rnacentral:rRNA from 1 species
CUAACAAGGAUGCGCUUAGUAACGGCGAGCGAACCGCGCAAAGCCCAACUUGAAAAUCUCCCUUGGAGAAUUGUAGUCUAUAGAAGUACCCUCUGCAACGGGCUGAGCUAAAGUCUCCUGGAAAGGGGCGUCAAAGAGGGUGAGAACCCCGUAAGCUCACGCUUUGUUGCCUCACGAGGUGCUUUCAAAGAGUCGGGUUGCUUGGGAAUGCAGCCCAAAUUUGGUGGUAAAUCCCAUCUAAGGCUAAAUAUUGGCGAGAGACCGAUAGCGAACAAGUACCGUGAGGGAAAGAUGAAAAGAACUUUGAAAAGAGAGUUAAAAAGUGCUUGAAAUUGUUGAGGGGGAAGCGUUUGAAUGCUAGGGUGCGCCUAGGCUUAUGGGUCCUUAACGGGGCUCUGUAUGUGCUAGGUGCUGGCCAGCAUGGGUUAGGCUAGUGGGAUAAAAGCUGGGGUUGAUACCCGGUCUAUGCCACUGGCUUGACCAAGGCGUGAAGACUGCCCUUGUCCUUCGGGAACUGCAGUCUCAAGAUGCUGGCAAAAGGCUUUCAACCGACCCGUCUUGAAAAGGGAACCAAGGGA